AGUAACCAGUAACAGUGCGUGUCACCAGUGUUGUCAGCCUUACAAAUCAGACUUAUUAUAAUUAAUUUAUUUGAUUUAGUCUAAUGUUGGGUGGGGGUGAUCAGAAUGCACUCACUGACCCUCCACAGGCAGACAGAUACUAUAUAUUCCAGCCAGACAAAUGCUGCCCACCCCGUCAGCUUGCUAGCAAGGGCAGUGAGGUAGACAAUAAUUGUCAGCUUGGCUAUGCAAUUGCCAAUGCCAGGGUGGGCUAGGCCUGGUGGGUCUGGCUGAGAUAGAUCACUGUGGGCAUCAGGAGUCAAGAGGGCUGAGAGAAAGAAGACAUGCACUGUCGGUCUCUCAAAGAUGCCCAAGCUCAGAUGACACACACUCACAUACUUGUAUUUCUAUCUUUGUGAGGACACUCACUGACACAUCGCAAUCCCUAGACGCUUAACCAUUACAACUAAAUGCCUAACCUCAACCCUAACCCAAGCCAAAUUCUAAUCUGGCCCUAAAACCAAGUCUUAAUGCCAAAACAUAGGAAUCUGAAAAAGUGAGGACGAGCCAAAUGUCCUAACCUUGUCAUAUUGUGAUAUUAUGCUCCAAAUGGUCCUCACAAAGGAAAAUACAAGUACACACAAAUGCUUUAGAUAAGGACCUUUGUGAUACAGUGACUAGAGAAAUGUUUUUGACUCAGAAAUGUUUUUAUUCUCAAUUUCUCUGUUUUUUCAGCCAUCCAGAUGUUGAAAACAGACAAAACUCAGAAAGUAUUUGUGAGAACAAGAGGAAUAAGAUGAUGCAAAGCAGAAAGAAGCAGCACCAGAAUGCCUGCCAGCCUUUUGUGGCCUUACAUAAAACCUCAUGCUUGGAGCAGGUACUUUUUUGGCACACGUGGCUGAAAUGACCAAAGAAGAUCUGAAACCACUGGUGAGCAGUCCAAGCUUUCAAUGAAUGGGAACCUGUGGGAUGUUCUCAGGCCUUCAGAGGUGAUCUCAGCCAAACAGAGGAAACAUCUGCUCUACUGCUGUUCUAAAUGCUCCAGAUCUACACAAACACACACACGCAUACAUAUACACACACACACACACACCACAUACAGUCUUAGAGGUUGUGCCUGCCAGAGGAAGAGUGUUAUUACAAAAAGCACACAUGCCUUUAUACUUACAUACACAUUAACACACACACAGAUGCUGCCUGUCUUCCUCUCAUCCUCAUCCUGUCACAACCACAGUGCAGUUUGUCCUCCAGCUCACCAUCCCUGCAUUCAGGACCUGCACUAACAGCUGCUCUGGCAGCUAAAUCUGAGUCCCAUGUUCUGUUUGUCUUUAUAUUGGUCUGUUUGUUCUCGUGUUUCCCUCUAUCUUGACAAGAAGUCCUUAAUCAGCAGAAUUGAGCCAGUGUUUUUUAACAAUUGCUCAAACAGGUUACCAAAUAUGUUGUUAUGUUGUAGCAAAACCUAAUUAUCACAAUGAGAGUCCUUAAUUUCUGUUAUUAGCGAGUAUUUAAGUAUUAAAGUAUUCCGCUUUGCUGCAAAACUUGCAUAUACACGUUUUCAUCAGAGGAGAUGGUGUUUUUCUGUGUCUGCCUCAGUCUUGUGAUUUUUCCUGAGCAUGCUCAUGAUGUUUUAACUAUUUUGUACAAAAAGAGCUGAAAGAAAUGCAAGACAUUCUUUAAAGUAAAAAUAUGUUGGUUGUUGCAACGUGCCUAAACAAAAGGCAUUUGAGCUGUGUCACUCUAGAUAUCCACUUCUAUUUUUAAUGCUUAUAUACCAGUAAAUUCAACCUAUAUUUUUCAGUUGAAGUCCAUUUUUCUGUGCAAAUAACACUUCCAAAAUGCGGGUGACUAACAACUCAACGCAGUGCUCGAACACCUCCUAUGUAGACACUGAGUGAGCACUGGAGCUGCUGAUGCUGCUCUGCUAACAUUGUGCACAUGUUACACCUACUAUGUAGACACAAAGAAAGUAACUGUCUAAAUGGCCUAUAUAUGCACCCCCAUCGACAGGUUGAUUGUUCCUUACUGCUAUACAAUACUGUUCCAAAAUAAUUCAUUUGAGGCGUUACUGAUCUGACUGGGUAAUGUGAACAGUCAUCUCCUGUGUCAAAGUAACAUCCAUUCACUCUUCUCCCUAACAGAUUU
rnacentral:lncRNA from 1 species